CGGCGCGCGUCCGCCGCCGUCAGGCCCGUCCGCCUGGCCCACGCCUCGAGCACCGCCUCGCCGCGCGAGCGCGGGCCCGGGCUGCCGCCCCCGCGGGUCCGCCGCGGCGGCGGCGCCGCAGAGUCGACCGCCGUGGACACGCAGGAGCUCGCCCCGGACUCGUACCCGCACUCGUCCGGCGCCGCGAGGAGGAGGCGCGUGCGGCGGUGGCGCGACGCGAGGAAGUUGGCGCCGUGCACCUUGGCGUCGCAGGCGGCGCAGAGGAAGGCCGCGUCCGCCGCGCAGUGCACGGCCGCGGGCG
rnacentral:misc_RNA from 1 species